UUGCGAAACAGCUCCAAUUUCCUUGUCCAGCUUGCUUCAGUUUUCUUUCUUCCAGCAUGUAUCUGACCUUCAUCCCCAUUGUAGAACUUGGAUUUUGUUCUACAGUCUUCAACCUUUUGAUCCCCUGUAACCUUGGCACUUGACAAGCUAAUUCCCACAUUGAAUCCCAUAGCUUGCUCAUGAAAUUUGGUCAGCUUCAUCUCCCUUCGAAGCCUGCUCGUCUCGCCUCGUCCCAAGUCGUUUCGGUUUGCAAGCUCUUCAUGUUUAACAUAUAUCUCGAACUUAACUUCAUUAACUUCAACAUCUUGAAUUCCAUAACCUUGGACAUGAUUAUGGACAGCUUUGUCAACACUGAUUGGCCUCCAAUUAAGCUCGACUCUUGGUUUCAACCACUUGCCAAAAUGCCCCAAGUUAUUUAAGAUUUGGUGCCUAGCCCAAUUCACAUCACAGGU
rnacentral:lncRNA from 1 species